rnacentral:tRNA from 1 species
GCCGUUCGAUGGGGAGCUGGGCUCCCGGCCGGUUGUAGCCCGGCUGUCCUGCGGGACGAGAGGUUCGAUUCCUUCCGAACGGCA